GCCCCACGCCCGUCCCAUUUUCCUUGCCACACACACCUCCUCUUCUCGUUCCUCGUUUCUUUCUAGCCUACUUUCGUUGGUGACUGCGUCGCUCAGCUCGCCGGCGACGAUUUGCUCCACAAGUGCGUGUUCGUGGAUUGGAGAUGACGCGCAUACCUGAGAUUAUGAGGACGCGGUGGUCAAGAAGGAGUUGGACCUUGCAAACGUGGGUGAGCUGUAGUUUGAUCGAACAGGACUUAGCCGGCGACGGGAAGUGACCACCUAGGAGCAGAGAUCCAACGUCGCCUUUGUCUCACUCUCACACCUAGGAUUCGUCAGCAAAGGAAGGACUGCGCCGUCCAUUGGCGAGGAGCAGACGACGAACGCCGCGGUAGCCUCUUCCAGCGCAACGGCCUCUUCCCUCCCUUCUGCUCAAAUUAAGAGGGGGAAGGGGACGAGAAGGUUCGUUAGCGUCGUGCUUGUCAUCUCGUCGAGCCCCUCCUUCAGUGCUUGAUCAAAUCACGCGGGUUUGCGAGCUGCUCGACGGAAUUCGCCACAGGAGUAGGAAGGGGCAAGAAGAAAAGGAUCAGAAGAAGCCAUCGACGGGGGACGGGGCAGAGGUUUGAUGUAGACGGGGAGGACGACGCAAUGGCAGUGGAUGAGGGGAGGGGAUGUGCCUGUAUGCGUGCGCCGCAGAGCGUGGCGGCCGACCAUCACGGGCGGAGCCGCUGCAGCCUCUCUUCUCUUCUUGAAGAGGAACUGAGAUUAGACUAGAGCUACUCCCGCUGUUGUUACCUCCUUACUCUUGAUGAUUACACCUUGAUUAAAGACUGCUCACCCGAUAAUAGGAUGAUGAUCUGUUUUCCUCUUAAUCUUUCAGUCCGUUCCAACUGUGAGCUCUCACAUAAACGAGUAGAUUCUUCUUUCCAAUCAGCGAAGAUAUUCUUAUUCCUUGGUGUAUUUUUCCGUUACAGAAUAUUUCAGAAUUAGCGUGGGUGUGAGAUGGAUCAGUGUCACUUCGGGUUCAUCGGGCUGAUCGUGCUCAUCUAUCAUCCGCUCUUUGUUGCUGAGCUUGAAAUAUACUCAACAUGAUACACGUCAGCUGCCUCCAGUUUAAGAACUACAAGAUGCAAGAAGAACUGAAAUCAUGCUUCGAGCAAACUUUGAUCAAUGAUGUAGUGCCAACAUUUACAUUAAAUUUCCGCUGCAGCUGAAACAAAAGAGUGCUGGAACGGAGAACAACUUCACCUCAUGUUCACACUGUCAGCUAGCUUUAGUAGAAAUAUCUGAAGGUUCUGUGAUAAUUUUGUCAUCCUUUGCAAGCUACAAAAUAAAGCAGAUGAUAUUGAAUAUUUCGGAGAAGCUGCUGCAUUGGCUAUUUGACUAGCCUUGGAAGUAAAUACUCAAUACUUUUGCAAUCGGCUUUGUGGUGCCUUCAUUCUUGGAUGUUGCUGGCAAGGAUUGGAAAUCUUGUUCUCCUGAGAAACGGAAGAAUGGCAGGCACAUCCUCUUUUGAGGAUUUGAUGGGCAAUCAAAAGAAGGGAACCUACUUUUUAAUACUCUUGGGCAAGACACUCUCUAAGAUUACCCCUAUUACAACGUCUUAGAUCCCAGAUCGAAGGCGGCAAAAUAUUGUCUGGCAUUACUAUUUCUUUUAUGAUUUUGUGAAAAUAUGUCUUUUUGUGUCAUUUGCGGAUUGUUUGGUAAUUCUUGAUCUCAUGUAGUGUUGGAACUCACUGACAUUGUACCAGUUUUGUUUU